rnacentral:rRNA from 1 species
GUUAUAUAGUUAAGUGACUAAGCGCAUACGGUGGAUGCCUUGGCAGUCAGAGGCGAUGAAGGACGUAGUAACCUGCGAUAAGCGUUGGUAAGCUGGUAAACAAGCUUUGACCCAACGAUUUCCGAAUGGGGAAACCCAUCUAACAUAAGUUAGAUAUCUUGCACUGAAUACAUAGGUGUAAGAAGCAAACCCGGAGAACUGAAACAUCUAAGUACCCGGAGGAAAAGAAAUCAACCGAGAUUCCCUUAGUAGCGGCGAGCGAACGGGGAUUAGCCGAUGAUUAUUGAAUUAGUGGAACGCUCUGGGAAGUGCGGCCAUAGUGGGUGAUAGCCCCGUACACGAAGAUUCAAUAGUCACAUAUUAAGUAGGACGGGACACGUGUUAUCUUGUCUGAAGAUGGGGGGACCAUCCUCCAAGGCUAAAUACUCCUGACUGACCGAUAGUGAACCAGUACCGUGAGGGAAAGGCGAAAAGAACCCCUGUGAGGGGAGUGAAAUAGAUCCUGAAACCGUAUGCGUACAAGCAGUGGGAGCAGACUUGUUCUGUGACUGCGUACCUUUUGUAUAAUGGGUCAGCGACUUAAUUUUAGUAGCAAGGUUAACCGUAUAGGGGAGCCGUAGGGAAACCGAGUCUUAAUAGGGCGUUUAGUUGCUGGGAUUAGACCCGAAACCGAGUGAUCUAGCCAUGAGCAGGUUGAAGAUCAGGUAACACUGAUUGGAGGACCGAACCCACUUAUGUUGAAAAAUGAGGGGAUGACUUGUGGCUAGGAGUGAAAGGCUAAUCAAACUCGGAGAUAGCUGGUUCUCCUCGAAAGCUAUUUAGGUAGCGCCUCGUGUAUCACCCUGGGGGGUAGAGCACUGUUUGGGCUAGGGGGUCAUCCCGACUUACCAACCCCAUGCAAACUCCGAAUACCCAGGAGUGCGAUCACGGGAGACACACGGCGGGUGCUAACGUCCGUCGUGGAGAGGGCAACAACCCAGACCGCCAGCUAAGGUCCCAAAGUUACAGUUAAGUGGGAAACGAUGUGGGAAGGCUUAGACAGCUAGGAGGUUGGCUUAGAAGCAGCCAUCCUUUAAAGAAAGCGUAAUAGCUCACUAGUCGAGUCGGCCUGCGCGGAAGAUUUAACGGGGCUCAAACUGUACACCGAAGCUGCGGAUAUCUUUUAGAUAUGGUAGAGGAGCGUUCUGUAAGCUGAUGAAGCUCAAUUGAGAAGUUGGGUGGAGGUAUCAGAAGUGCGAAUGCUGACAUGAGUAACGACAAAGGGGGUGAAAAACCCCCUCGCCGGAAGACCAAGGGUUCCUGCGCAACGUUAAUCGGCGCAGGGUGAGUCGGCCCCUAAGGCGAGGCUGAGAAGCGUAGUCGAUGGGAAACAGGUUAAUAUUCCUGUACUUGUAUAUAUUGCGAUGGGGAGACGGAGAAAGCUAAACCAGCAUGGCGACGGUUGUCCAUGUUUAAGGUUGUAGGCUGAGGACUUAGGCAAAUCCGGGUCCUUAAGGCUGAGAACUGAUGACGAGAUCUCUUUUAGAGAUUGAAGUGGUUGAUGCUCUGCUUCCAGGAAAAACCUCUAAGCUUCAGAUAUAUAGGAACCGUACCCCAAACCGACACAGGUGGUCAGGUAGAGAAUACCAAGGCGCUUGAGAGAACUCGGGUGAAGGAACUAGGCAAAAUGGUACCG